CCUGGCUACAACUCCUACUGAGCUCUGCCCCUUUCUGGGAGCUCGUAGGGCAGCCCAGAUCUUUCUUAGGGUAUGCCUUCUAUUGGAACACGAGUUCUUAGGGUGUGACUUUUCAAGCUGAGAUGUCUGCACAUGAAAGAAUUUGAGCUUUCAAAGAACUCCGGGCCUUUGCUUACCUCCUCUUGAAUUGUAGGGAUCUGAACUACUCGGAAAAGACGAAUUUACGCCGCUUUUCCAAAGGUGGGAUCUGGUUCCUUUGUUUGUACUGAAAGAUUGAUCAGAGCAGGUAAACAGACAUUUGGUGCAUAGCUAAUUAUGAGCUAUGGAAAAAUGGACAUUUUUUUUUAGUUGUUCCUAAAAGAUCAGGCUUAGGAUUCAAAGCCGUAACGCAUUUAUUGUGGUAACGCAAACUGAAGUCAUGUGAAUCGAGAACCAUAAGGGUUCCAUUAGCACACAUGGAAAGUCGAGUUGGGUCUGUAAUAGCACUGACAGUAAGUCCCAUUCAGGAGCAUUACUUCUUAAAAAUUAAACAAACCUCUCAAGUGGCUUAACGUGUAGCUGACAGUGCCAGCACGCUUCAAUUUCCAUUCAACCUGAAGUUGCCACACUCUCCAUUCUAAAUGGAAAUAGUGUUCUGCUGAUGUCACUGGCAAGCCUCCUUUUCUCCCAGCAAAAAUGUUUGUGUUACGGUGACUUCUUGAUCCCUGAGAAUACGUUUGUCUUGGUGAUCUGCUUCAGAUGCAAAUUGCUAUACCAGUCAGCUUGUGGGAAGAUAAAACCUUUCUUUAUUUUUAGUUCUGUCCAUUUAAAUCCAACGUGCAGUGCUAGAUGUUGGAAUCAACGUGGAUUCUUUCUGCUCGGAAGCCUCUGGGAAGAGAUGUCUCACCCCAGUGCUCAAAGGCUGCUUCUAAUUCUGUUGUUUUUUUAAUGUUAUUUCUUUAAGUGAUACCUAUGGAACGUGUUAGCCACCGAUUUGGGAAAUCUCCCUUGUAUCUCAGUCUUCUGUUUCUCUUGUUUCCUCCCCUGGCCUCAAAGCAGCAGCACAGCUGUGCCAGGAUACCCAGGACUGCUUUUCUGCGCCUCGUCCUUUCAGCCCCAUUGGAUGCUCAGCAGGAGCCGCUCAGUUCACACACGCAGUGCGUUCUGCCUUCCAAGAGCUUUCCAUCAGGCGAGAGGCUCUCUUCUUUUUGCCUGUUUCAAAUGUACCGUUCCACGUGUCCUACAAGAAGUCUUCACGCACCUCUCCAGGUAUUCAGGGAGAAGAAGUCCAUUUUUCUGUUGCCAUCAGACUCAGUGCUUCGUGCAGUGGUCCAUGAUGAGACCACUCAGGAAAAUACUCUUAGCUGUGGUUUCCAGCACAAGAAAUGUUGCAAAUCUGAGUUUAAAAAAAAUCAAGUUUGGCUGCUGCACAACACUUUCUCAGUUGAUUCCUUAUUAUUUAACACUUCUCUGAAGUUCAAGUCUUUCUUUUUUUUUUUUUUGUCUCCCCCCUUCAAUACAGCCUUCAUCCAAAAGACACUGCCAAAUGCUUUACAAGUAGUACAGAGAAAGAGAAAUUGUUUCUGGCACCUAUUGCAGUAGUCAGCACUGAGCAUCCUGCUUACCCAGCUCACAAAGCACAGAGCCUUAUUUUGUUAGGAUGUACAAAUGCUUCUGCUAUCAAACAAGCAAAAGGACAGCCAGCCCACCUAACCUGCUACCAGCUAGCCACCAAGUUUAGGAGAAUGAGCAAUGCCUCCACUGGGGACUUCCCUGGCAGAUCCACGUCUGAACAGCCAGGGCUGGCUUCCAAGAACAUUAAAUUCCAGCUGCUUUUCCAUCCAAGGCAAGGUUAGUUUAGUAUCCCCCUUCCUCCCUGUGUCUUUACAGCAGGAGAUAUUCUAGCCAACGUAUUCGUCAUGUUUCUGAGCCUCCCUGCUGCUUGAUUUAUGCAGAGAGGACCAGGGAGAGAGAUUCCAGUGUGAACUACCUGCAGGUGUGCAGCAGGGUGCCGCAGUCCAUGCGGACCAGCUAUGCUGGCUGAUCCCCACACGUGGCACCAAGGCUGUUCCUUUCCCAUUGGUGAGUGCUGUGAGAUGCCCUUGGUGCUUGGGAGCGCCACAGAGAGAAGCAGGAGGGUGAGGGAUGCUGAGAUGGAGUUUCCAAACUUGCAGCUGACGUUACUCACCUCA
rnacentral:lncRNA from 1 species